rnacentral:rRNA from 1 species
UUACGGGAGGCAGCAGUGGGGAAUAUUGCGCAAUGGGGGAAACCCUGACGCAGCGACGCCGCGUGAGCGAAGAAGGCCUUAGGGUUGUAAAGCUCUGUUUUAAGGGACGAAUGUUACGGGGAGUAAUAUGCCCUGUAAAUGACGGUACCUUAAGAGGAAGCCCCGGCUAACUACGUGCCAGCAGCCGCGGUAAGACGUAGGGGGCGAGCGUUGUCCGGAAUUACUGGGCGUAAAGAGCACGUAGGCGGGAACUUAAGUCAGGUGUGAAAGACCGGGGCUCAACUCCGGGGUGGCACUUGAAACUGGGUUUCUUGAGGGCAGGAGAGGAAAGCAGAAUUCCUGGUGUAGCGGUGAAAUGCGUAGAAAUCAGGAGGAAUACCAGUGGCGAAGGCGGCUUUCUGGACUGACCCUGACGCUGAGGUGCGAAAGCGUGGGUAGCAAACAGGAUUAGAUACCCCGGUAGU